rnacentral:tRNA from 1 species
GCCUGGGUGGCUUAGUCGUUAAGCGCCUGCCUUCGGCUCAGGGCAUGAUCCCGGUGUUCUGGGAUCGAAUCCCACAUCAGGCU